GGGCACAUGGUGUAGUUGGUUAUCACACCCGCUUCGCAUGAUUGCAUUGCUUUGUGUUUGCGGGGGGUGCUGGGUUCAAUUCCCAGUGUGUCCA